GCCAGGCAGGAUGAUACAUGUCUGCAAUCUCAGGUACUGGGGUACAGAGGCUGGUGGAUCUCUUGACCUCAGGAGUUCUGAGAUGCAGGGACCUCGCUGAUCAGAUGUCUACACUAAGUCCAAUAUCAAUAUGGAAAGCCCUUGGGAGCAGGUGACUCCUAAGGAGGAGUGAACCAGCCCAGGUUGGACAUGGAGCAAGUCAAGGCUCCUACAGGGAUAAGUAGUGGGAUAAGGCUCAUGAGUAGUCACUGCACUAAUAUAGGGAUACCCAGUCUUU
rnacentral:SRP_RNA from 1 species